rnacentral:lncRNA from 1 species
CACAAUACCGUUACAAUAUAUUAAUUAAAGGCCAAAUACAUACUGACCGUCUCUAGAGCAAGUGGCAAAAGACUUGAUAGUUGGUAUUCGAGACCCAAGUUCGAAUUCUAGUUGAUUAACAUUUCUAGCUAAGUUUAUUUUUAAAUAAAAUAAACGAAGCAGGUAGCGUGCUACCUAUCUCUCUCUUAAAAAAAAAAAGCCAAAAAUUUAUUUUUAAAUGAAAUAAACGAAACAGAUAGCGUGCUGUCUAUCUCUCUCAAAAAAAA